rnacentral:rRNA from 1 species
AACGAACGCUGGCGGCAUGCCUAACACAUGCAAGUCGAACGAGACCUUCGGGUCUAGUGGCGCACGGGUGCGUAACGCGUGGGAACCUGCCCUUAGGUUCGGAAUAACUCUCCGAAAGGGGUGCUAAUACCGGAUAAUGUCUUCGGACCAAAGAUUUAUCGCCUUUGGAUGGGCCCGCGUUGGAUUAGCUAGUUGGUAGGGUAAAAGCCUACCAAGGCGACGAUCCAUAGCUGGUCUGAGGAGGAGCAGCCACACUGGGACUGAGACACGGCCCAGACUCCUACGGGAGGCAGCAGUGGGGAAUAUUGGACAAUGGGCGAAAGCCUGAUCCAGCAAUGCCGCGUGAGUGAUGAAGGCCUUAGGGUUGUAAAGCUCUUUUACCCGGGAUGAUAAUGACAGUACCGGGAGAAUAAGCUCCGGCUAACUCCGUG